rnacentral:rRNA from 1 species
GAUGAACGCUGGCGGCGUGCCUAAUACAUGCAAGUCGAGCGAACGGACGAGAAGCUUGCUUUUCUGAUGUUAGCGGCGGACGGGUGAGUAACACGUGGAUAACCUACCUAUAAGACUGGGAUACCUUCGGGAAACCGGAGCUAAUACCGGAUAAUAUUUUGAACCGCAUGGUUCAAAAGUGAAAGACGGUCUUGCUGUCACUUAUAGAUUGAUCCGCGCUGCAUUAGCUAGUUGGUAAGGUAACGGCUUACCAAAGCAACGAUGCAUAGCCGACCUGAGAGGGUGAUCGGACACACUGGAACUGAGACACGGUCCAGACUCCGACGGGGGGCAGCAGUAGGGAAUCUUCCGCAAUGGGCGAAAGCCUGACGGAGCAACGCCGCGUGAGUUAUGAAGGUCUUCGGAUCGUAAAACUCUGUUAUUAGGGAAGAACAUAUGUGUAAGUAACUGUGCACAUCUUGACGGUACCUAAUCAGAAAGCCACGGCUAACUACGUG